AGGAGGCAGAUUGUCCUGUGCAGCCUCUUUGAAAGGCAUAGACUAGCACAUCAGCCUCAAAGCUGGGCUUAGACACUCCUUCAGAUCCCCCCCCACCCCCCUCCCCCGCACCAAUGCCUACCUCUUUCCAGAACUCACCCAAGAGCCUUUUUCAGCACCUUGAACAGAGCAUCAGCUCUGGCCAACCUAGGAGGAACUAGGUCCUGUCUGCCUCUCCCCAUAUCCUGUAUCUGGAGAAAGUCAGGGCCCUGGCUGCUUUCUGAUCAGUGAACAAGGACCAGGUGACAGAGACCAUGCCAACAGUCAUUUCUGGGCUGUCUGAAGACAGCUCCUCUCUCUCUCCUGGGGGCCCUAGAGACAAUGCUUCACAGAAACCUGAAUAAAAGCGAGAGCAGGGCCCCCUCCAUUCCCUGCUACCAUGGAGUUCUCAUCUGAAGGCAUGGAAGACAGUGGAAUCCAUGGAGCUUGCUAGGUAUUCCAUGGGUGGAUCUGCCAGCGUAGCCUUCCUCCCACAACUGGCCCCACUGCCUGGCUCCACUCUGCAUAGCCCAGGGCCCAUUUACCCUCAAUGUGGGGAGACCCCAUCACCCUGUCUGGAGACAGUGGAAGUGUGAGAAGUCUGGAACUCACUGGCCAGAAUUGCAGUAGUCCUGGGUAAGUGUGGGCUCUUCCUCCUCAUCUCCCUUGUCCCCAGAAACCACCCAAGAUCAAGACUGCCGAUCAAGACCAAUUAAUUCUACAAGCGUGACCGUGCAGAGGAAGCCCCAGAGGUCCCCAGCUCUCUUGGAUUUUGUCCCUGUCCCAUCUGACCAUGGCACUACCCUCCUCAGGAAACUUGCCCUUUGCCUCCAAGGUCUCCUGCCCUUUUCUUCCCCUAACUCCCAUGGCCUUCUUCAAAGGUCUCCAACUCGCCUCUAUAGAUGCCAUCGCAGCUUCUGGGCUCAGGUAGGUGGGGACCGUGUCCAGUGAAGCACAGAGCCCCUGAAGGGUCACCUCCAGCAAAGCUCUCUGAAGUUAACUCCCAGGACCACCAUGAGUCCUGUCCCCCUUCACCAUGCCUCAGGACUACCCCCUGAUCCCUGAAGCAGCUCACUUCUACCUGGUGAAGUCAAAACUCGACAUCUCAUGGUUGGUUGCUGACAACAGAGCCCAGAGUGGAGAGAACCUUGGCUCAGAUCUCUGGGUGCACUGUAGACCCAGAGGAAGGCCCAAGGUCUGAGUGUGGGGGAGCCCAGCUAUGGCAUUCAAACUCUCCACCCCAGCAGUGAGUCAUCCCCACAGUCACCGACCACCCCCAGGACACUGUCACCAGGGGGACCUGGCAUCUUAGUGUGAAGCUCUGGUGGGUGCGAGUAAAGGAGUGUGGCCAAGGACAGCAGUGAGUCACCUGUGGGGGAGAGGCAGAGGAACAUCUUCGGGCUUCUCUAGGGGGCUUCCAGAUCCCUGGUCUCAUGUCUUGUAUGAUUUGCAGAACGUAAGGAUCCAAGUUCUGUAUAUACUAAACCAGGGCUUGGCCAUAGACCAGGAUCAGGUCUUAAUAUGGGAACAAAAUGAGGCUUCAGCCUAUGACCAGUGGCAGUGCUCAGUGUGUGACCAGAAUAAGGACUCGGUGUGUAUCUUAGGUUAUUUUUUCUAAUGUUGUGAUAAAAUUCCCUGGGAUAGGGAUUGUUCUCACUCAGAGUUCAUGGUACACAGCUCAUCAUGGUAGGGAAGUCACGUGGUCAGAAGUUUGAAACAGCUGGUGAUGUUAUGUCCACAGAAGAGAGUGAUGAAUACGUCCUGCUGCCCAGGUACCCUUCCUUGCUUACAGUCUGAGAUCCCAGGCACGGAAUACUGACACUCAUCGUGAGUGGAUCUCCCCCCCUCCCCUUCCUGACACUCACUGUGGGUGGGUCUUUCACCCCCUCACUUAAGGCAAUGAAGAUAAUUCCCCACAGGCCCAUAUUCCAGGUGAUUGUAGAUUCUGUGGCCAGGAUCAAGGUUCAUUACGUGACUGAGGUCAGGGCUCAGUGCUUCUAGAGCUCAGUGUUUCUAAAGGUAGAAUGCUGUCUGGUGCCAGUCUUGUUUUGACCCUCCAUUAUCAGGUUGCCUCCCCAAGUCUUGCCUCUCACCCGGAUUGGCAUCAGGGCCUCAGGGCAGGGGGCAUUGUGUGAGAUCCAGCCAGAGCAGCAAAGUGCUCUUGUCUGUGAGGAGUGAGGGUGCAGAGGCGCUCAUGGUAUCCAUAGUAUCUACACACUGUGUAGUUCCCAGCGUACUGCUGAGGGAGUAAUUACCUCUGGCCUCUACCUGGGGUGCAGACAAUUAAUCCAGACUCUAGUAUCCAUGACAACACAGUGACCAUGCUCCUCCCUGGUCCCCUGUCUACCAGGGCUGGCCUGCAGGUGUCUCACUCCACCCAGCUCCUCCUAUAACACACUGCAUGGCAGGGUGGAUGCGUCUUCGCAACCUGGGGCCUGGCAGGAGGCCCUGGAGCCCUGGCUCUGGUGUUGAAUAAAUUGGGAGAUUAAGGCUGAACCAGAUCUCAGAGAGGAGACAGACAAGGAAGGCUUCAAAAGAAUGGGCAGGGAGGGGAUGAGAGCAGAGCGAAGGAGUAGAGGGUGGCUCUAGUCCGCAUCUCUCCUUUCUUGUUCACGCUCAUUCCUCUCUCCUCUCCUCUCUUCUUUCUCUCUCAUCCAUCUCUACCAUCUAAAUUCCUCCAUCUCUCUCCUCGCCAUCCUCCAGCUCCCGCUUCUUCCCUGGUUCUCUUCUUCCUGCUAUGACUCCUCCCCGGGUGCACUGGUUGGUGCUGUGCUGUGCUGUGCUGUGCUGUGCUGUGCUGUGCUGUGCUGUGCUGGUGCUGAUGCAGGCACUUAUCGAGCAUCACUGGGUGACUCACCUCUCGGGUACCUAGGCAUCCUCUGCAGCAGAAAGAAGCCUUUGUGUUUAGAACCUGGGCGUCACAUGGCACAGAGAUCCGGAGAGUAAGCAGCACUGGGAGAGAGCUAGGACAAGUCCACAGCUUUGUUUAUCAGGGCAUUGUGGGACCCUGGCAAGGGACUCCUGAGUGUCCUUGGGGUCUCUUGGCAAGAGCAGCCCCUUCCCCAGAGCCUUUGGGGAAGUUUUUUUUUUCUACACUGACCUCGUCACACCCAGGAACACAGCAGGAAGGAGGUCUCUCUGCUACCAACACUCCCAGCUCCCCCUUUCUGCCACACUCCCCACUUCCCCUGGAACAUUUACAGCAAACCCAACGACAGCAUUACUUGACUUGUGAAUGUUUGCUGUCUCCUGCAGAACAAACCUGGGGAAACCUGAAGGAACUCUGGCCAGCUUGAGCAUUGCAAGCAUGGCUCUGGCAGGCCUUGCCCUUCUCCCCAUUCCUUCUGCCUUGCUAAAAACCAUUCCAUUCCUUUCCUAAAUCUUGUCACCAAAGUCUAGUCCCUUAUUUGGCCACUUUCCCCUCCUGAGGCUGACUACCAAGGUUCAGCUAUCACAGUAUUGAAGUCCAACAAUCAGAAACUCCCUUAGGCUCACCUAAUUAACGUGCCCCAUUAAAACUCAAACAUCCCAAUUCUAACAUGAAGUUUCCCCCUUGCACCUUUAUAAACCUCUAUUUUACUAUGGGUCAUGUCUGUCUCCUCUCUAUCCAGAGGCAGCCGUUUGUCGUUCCCUCCCAACUCCAGGACAAACACCUCUUCCUCUUGCUCUCUUCCCCUUCUCCCUUGCCCUCUGUGUCCUGUCUUUGACUCUUAUUCCCCGAUCUCUGUCCAUCUGGGACAAAUAAACCUGCUAUGUGCCGAGAACUUGGUCUGGGGAUCCUGAGCUGAUGAUGCUCCUUUCAAAUCCGAUCAAGGAACCCUGCUUCAGUAAGCCAAGCCUCUAGUCCCCAGCAGAACCUAUGGUUUAUCCUAUUGAUAGGUUUUGUCCCUCGCUGCCAUGUGAGGACUCCUGCCAGUCCCCCUGGUCCCUUUCUCAUCCAAAAACUGCCAAGCUCUUCUUUUCAGCACAACUGUGGCUACUCCUGGGAUGUGGCUGAAUCUGCCCCGUCACCAGCAGGUCCUCAACGCAAGGGUAACAAGCAGCCAAACUGGUCAGGGUGUGGACAACUGAGUUCCACCACAGGGAGAUGUUUGAGAAAACCUCUCAGGAAGACUCUGGCUGGGCCCAAGGAAGGAAGAGUGGACUGUCUAAAGAUUUCUGUAAACUAACCAAAAGAUGCAAAGGUUCAAACUCUCUAAGGCAGGAGUGGGUGAACUGUGCAGCUGAAUCAACCUUUUGGGGAUGGGUGAGGCUGGUCACCUCUCAUCUGUGGGAUGGAGGGACCAUGGCCAGGCUAAAGGGGUCCUGCUGAGCCAUCAUUUCAGACAGCAGGUGGACACACAGAGACAAGGCAAGGAGUGCUACUGAGGCUGGCCCUGCUACCCAGAUUCCUGCUGUUCCUUAGGAAGGGAUGGGGGAGCCAAGGUUUCCAGGAGAGGGAAACCGGGUCUCUCUCAUCUACCUGUUUCCCAUGAGCACCCACAACACUUAAACCACCGGCUAACAAUCUAGGACUGGAUUGCCAUUGCCACAAUAGGCCAGUGACCCAGGACGAGAAAGAGGAGACUGGCUGAAGUCCAGGAACAGCUUCCUCCAGGGUAGCAGUGUGCUGGAAGCUGUUUCCAACCCCGAUGGAGGGCAGUAAGAACAAGUGCUGCUUCUGUGAACUUUCUGCUCACUGCGUCGCCAUCCCUUGGGUCUGUCCUGGGGACAUUCAGCACGUCCCUUCCUUUGGGUCAAAACCCAUCCAUUCCUAUAGGAUCCUUUCUUCUCCCUGUGUGGGCCCAGGUGAGAACAGAGCCAGACGGCCAUGUGAAAGUCAUGCUGGUCUGCAGCCCUGGGGUUUGGAGUUCCUGCUCUCCACUGGCCUGGUCUCUCGGUCUCUCCAAAGUGAGAGAAACUCUUUGACCUUAACUUCAAGUAAGGCCAAGAGCACUGUGACCGGUGGCCUGUGGUCUGGUACCUGCCGUGGCAUCACUAGUGGAGCUGGAUCCUUCCUAGGCACAUCCAGCCUCUGUGUGGCUGACAGGCCUGCCACACAGGCAGGCAAAGAGUGGAAGGGACCAACAGUCUGAGCCAAGCUGGCUGUUGGCCCUGGUUCAAGGGUAAUGGUGGAGGUUCCUGGAAGCUUAGACCACCCUCUCUGCUCCAUCAUCUACCCAGGGAGAGGCAGCCUCACCUUGCCCAAACCUAAUGGGAUAUGGAGCCAGGAUGGAUACCUGGACCUUGAAGUCACCAGGGCAAAGGUCUCAUUACCAUCGGCAUCCUAAGCACAUGGCUGUGCUGGGAUCCGCAUUUCUCACAUCACGGAACCCUUGAGGGUCUCAGUGCUCAUGCUGGGACCUGACGAACAGAAAGUGCUCGAUAAAUACUGAGGAAGACAAUGGAGGGAAUCAAAACAUAUGAGAAUCCCCCCCUUGUGCUCAGCAGACAGGUGACGGGAGAGCCAGACCAGUGAGGUAGAGAUCCAUGGUGACCUCUGUACCAUGUGGUGACUCUGGGGUGGUUGAAUGGCAAGAGCCUCCUCAAAGGCACCGCUGAUGCCCGCCAUGGGUAAACACCUCUGUGCGUGGGGAUGGGGGGUGAUGCCAGGGCAGAAUGUCAAUUCUGAAAGUUUCUGUAAUGUGGCCCAGGGAGAUGAGCUACUUGACAAGAAUAUGAGCUCAGCCACAGGUGAGUAAGUAGCUGAGGCCUAGUCUUGUCCUCACCAAAAGCCUUAGGCCCAUCCUGAGGCCCAUGGCCUAUCUCCAUCCCUUAGGCUGAGUGUGGCUCCAUCUACGGAGACAUGGACUUUCAAUAGGAAAUGAGCAGAGUGCAGAAUGAUUUACAAGGCGUAGAGGCUGCCCAUCUUCACAGCGGGAGCCUGGUAAAAUAAAAUGACACGGGGAACCCAGACCCUCCAGACCUCGGGAUUUCCAUCUGCAAAGUGAGGUAAGAAAACUCUUGUUUGUGGUGUGCAGUAAGUCCAGCACAGCCUGUGUCCAGGAAUAGUCAACA